rnacentral:rRNA from 1 species
UGGGGAAUUUUGGACAAUGGGCGAAAGCCUGAUCCAGCAAUGCCGCGUGUGUGAAGAAGGCCUUCGGGUUGUAAAGCACUUUUGUCCGGAAAGAAAUCCUUGGCUCUAAUACAGUCGGGGGAUGACGGUACCGGAAGAAUAAGCACCGGCUAACUACGUGCCAGCAGCCGCGGUAAUACGUAGGGUGCAAGCGUUAAUCGGAAUUACUGGGCGUAAAGCGUGCGCAGGCGGUUUGCUAAGACCGAUGUGAAAUCCCCGGGCUCGACCUGGGGAACUGCAUUGGUGACUGGCAGGCUAGAGUAUGGCAGAGGGGGGUAGAAUUCCACGUGUAGCAGUGAAAUGCGUAGAGAUGUGGAGGAAUACCGAUGGCGAAGGCAGCCCCCUGGGCCAAUACUGACGCUCAUGCACGAAAGCGUGGGGGAGCAAACAGGAUUCAGAUACCCUGGUAGUCCAGCGCCCUAAACGAUGUCAACUAGUUGUUGGGGACUUCAUUUCCUUAGUAACGUAGCUAACGCGUGAAGUUGACCGCCUGGGGAGUACGGUCGCAAGAUUAAAACUUAAUGAAUUGACGGGGUCAUAGCUGUUUCCU